rnacentral:hammerhead_ribozyme from 1 species
GUACAGCUGAAGAGUCCCAAACUAGGACGAAACAGCUGUCCAGUAC